rnacentral:rRNA from 1 species
CCUACGGGAAGCAGCAGUGAGGAAUAUUGGUCAAUGGACGCAAGUCUGAACCAGCCACGUCGCGUGAAGGAAGACGGCCCUACGGGUUGUAAACUUCUUUUAUACGGGAAUAAAGUGCCCCACGCGUGGGGUUUUGCAUGUACCGUAUGAAUAAGGAUCGGCUAACUCCGUGCCAGCAGCCGCGGUAAUACGGAGGAUCCGAGCGUUAUCCGGAUUUAUUGGGUUUAAAGGGUGCGUAGGUGGUUUGAUAAGUCAGCGGUGAAAGUUUGCAGCUUAACUGUAAAAAUGCCGUUGAAACUGUCGGACUUGAGUGUAAAUGAGGUAGGCGGAAUGCGUGGUGUAGCGGUGAAAUGCAUAGAUAUCACGCAGAACUCCGAUUGCGAAGGCAGCUUACUAAGCUACAACUGACACUGAAGCACGAAAGCGUGGGGAUCAAACA